AUAUCUUUCAGGUCAUCCAGAGGUGCCCAAGCCACACCAACAGAGAAGACAGUGAUUCCUACAAUGAAAACAUUUUAAAGUGAAUUAAAAAUCAGGUCUAGCUAAUAUAUGGAGUUAUGUCUAUAUGUUUUCCAUACAUUGUUACAUAGUUGCAGCGAAAACUGCUUACUAAUUUCUGGACAAUUAAAUCCCCUGAACAAAUAAGUUUUCACAGUCAUUGUGACAAAGGCGUGGCAAAAGAGUGGUCCAAACCAGAAACUCUGCUAUAUCUGUAACUCACCACAUUAACAGUAUCUUUUUAAAAAUCCUACAGUGAAGGCAGAUGGUGAAAAUUUUCCAUAUGAGGUUGGCCUGCAUCAAACAGUAUACUGGAGUCAGAGUCACAAUCCAUUAAAGCAAGGAAGAAUGGCACAAGAGAUGGGAUAAAACAAGGACCUUACCUGCAUCAUGUGCAGCAGCUGCAGGGCCUUGGACAUCAUCAUAGGACUGCCCAUCUGUGACAAUUACUAGGAAGUUCUUGUUGGGGCUCUCCCUUAUAGGGCCAAACACAUUUCUAACAGUAAAGGAAAU
rnacentral:antisense_RNA from 1 species